UACGUAGGGGGCAAGCGUUGGCCGGAAUCAUUGGGCGUAAAGAGCGCGUAGGCGGCCCUGUAAGUCCGCUGUGAAAGUCAAGGGCUCAACCCUUGGAUGCCGGUGGAUACUGCAGGGCUAGAGUCCGGAAGAGGCGAGUGGAAUUCCUGGUGUAGCGGUGAAAUGCGCAGAUAUCAGGAGGAACACCGAUGGCGAAGGCAGCUCGCUGGGACGGUACUGACGCUGAGGAGCGAAAGCGUGGGGAGCGAACAGG
rnacentral:rRNA from 1 species